UCCGGAGGGGGCAAUCGUUGAUCGGAAUUACUGGGCGUAAAGCGCACGUAGGCGGACAGUUAAGUCGGGGGUGAAAUCCCGGGGCUCAACCCCGGAACUGCCUUCGAUACUGGCUGUCUGGAGGUCGAGAGAGGUGAGUGGAAUUCCGAGUGUAGAGGUGAAAUGCGUAGAUAUUCGGAGGAACACCAGUGGCGAAGGCGGCUCCCUGGCUCGAUACUGACGCUGAUGUGCGAAAGCGUGGGGAGCAAACAGG
rnacentral:rRNA from 1 species